rnacentral:rRNA from 1 species
AGAGGUGGCGAGCGUUAUUCGGAAUUAUUGGGCGUAAAGGGCGCGUAGGCGGCUUGACAAGUCCCGGGUGAAAUCCCUCGGCUCAACCGAGGAACUGCCUUGGAAACUGUCUGGCUUGAGGCCGGGAGAGGGUAGUGGAAUUCCCAGUGUAGCGGUGAAAUGCGUAGAUACUGGGAGGAACACCGGUGGCGAAGGCGGCUACCUGGACCGGUUCUGACGCUGAGGCGCGAAAGCGUGGGUAGCAAACAGGAUUAGAUACCCUGGUAGUCCACGCUGUAAACGAUGGAUGCUCGGUGCUGGGGGUAUCGACCCCUCCGGUGCCUUAGCUAACGCGUUAAGCAUCCCGCCUGGGGAGUACGGUCGCAAGGCUG